rnacentral:rRNA from 1 species
CCAGACUCCUACGGGAGGCAGCAGUGGGGAAUCUUCCGCAAUGGGCGAAAGCCUGACGGAGCAACGCCGCGUGAUCGAAUGAAGGCCUUCGGGUUGUAAAGAUCUGUUGACAGGGACGAAUAAGCAAUGCGAAUAGUUUUGUGUAUGACGGUACCUGUUUAGAAAGCUCCGGCUAACUACGUGCCAGCAGCCGCGGUAAUACGUAGGUGGCAAGCGUUGUCCGGAUUUACUGGGUGUAAAGGGCGUGCAGCCGGGAGUGCAAGUCAGAUGUGAAAUCCCGCGGCUCAACCGCGGAACUGCAUUUGAAACUGUGCUUCUUGAGUGCUGGAGAGGCAGACGGAAUUCCUAGUG